GGGCCCGCACAAGCGGUGGAACAUGUGGUUUAAUUCGAUGGUACGCGAGGAACCUUACCUGGGCUCGAACGCAGAACGAUGUUCCGGGAAACCGGAAGUCCCCUUAAAGGCGGUCUGCGAGGUGCUGCAUGGUUGUCGUCAGCUCGUGCCGUGAGGUGUUGGGUUAAGUCCCAUAACGAGCGCAACCCUUAUCGUUAGUUGCCAGCGGGUAAUGCCGGGAACUCUAACGAAACUGCCAGCGUAAGCUGUGAGGAAGGUGGGGAUGACGUCAAAUCAGCACGGCCCUUAUGUCCAGGGCUACACACGUGUUACAAUGAUCAGUACAAAGGGAUGCCACCUGGCGACAGGGAGCAAAUCCUUAAAGCUGAUCUCAAUUCGGAUUGAAGUCUGCAACUCGACUUCAUGAAGCCGGAAUCGCUAGUAAUCGCGCAUCAGCAAUGGCGCGGUGAAUACGUUCCCGGGCCUU
rnacentral:rRNA from 1 species